ACGAUCAUAUCACGUUGAAACACCAGCUCUCGUACGGUCACCGAAGUUAAGCAUCGUCCAGUCUGGUGCGUACCAGGAUGGGUAACCACUUUGGAUACCAGGUGCU